UGUGUUUUUCAUUCAUAGAGACCCGCUCCUGUGAAGGCUGCACCCAAACCAAAAAAGACAGAUAAGAAAGACAAAGCAGCCAAUGUCAAAAAGGAGGAUAAAAAGACCAAGGUGAAGGCCAAGGAGAGCUCAGAGUCUGCAGCCAGCGAGGAGAACCACUCUGAAAAUUGAGAGGCCAAGACCAAAGCGGUCACACAGACUCAAAAAGAAGCGAAGGAAGCGAAGUCUGAGUAGCACUCUUGCCUCUCAUCAACACUGUCGUCGCAGCUCCUCAUCACUCCCAGUGUUGUGUCAUUGUCAACCUCCAAGGCAUAUUGUUCACAGAGAAAUAUUUUUAUCAAUGGUUUUAUAAGCAUCAGCAUGGAUUUUUAGUACAAACUGAAGCUAAAUGCUGAGCACCUUGUAGAUUUGCAGUGAUGGUUUCUGUGAAAAUGCCACACUAAAGGUAUUUUUAAAUGCCAUUUAUUGUUAUUGAUAACUUAUUUGGUUUAGAAAAAUCAGAUGUCAUCAAGUUCUUAAAACACGGCUGAGGGAAAUCGUCUUUUUGUUUAAUCAUUUGUCCUAAAUUUUGGUGUAUUAUUCAUAACAGUGGGGGGGAUCACAACCUGUAAGCAGAGAUUUAAGAGAGCGGAUAUAUCUCACUGACCCUUGCAAAAAAAAAA